AUGUCUGCUCUUCGACUGGAGCAGUUCUUCCCUGUUGGUAAUCAGAGGAUACAUGCUACUAAUUCUUCAACUGAAAUUAAUUUUCAGUUUGAUCCAAGAGCAAAUCAUGAACCUCAAGUUUUCUUAGCACCUAUGCCAAAGAGAAGAAGAUUAGUUUCUUUCAAGAAUGAAAGAACUGGUACCAAAGGAACUGCUGUCAGUAAAAGACAUUAUGGGAAGCAAGCUGACACCCCACCGCAACCUGUGCCUAAAGCAAAUGAAGCAAGUGCAGGGGCCAACCCUUUUCUAUGGAGCACAAUUUCAAGCUCAUCAACCAACAUAACCUUUGGCACUAAUAGCAAUCGCACAUAUUGUGGACAGCUUCACAAUGUGUCCCUCACUGAGAAAUCACCAUGA
rnacentral:rRNA from 1 species